ACCACAACUAAUAACAUGGAUGGCUUCUUUCAGGAGAGAUGCUGACGAUGCUCCUGGAGGAACACCACCAUCUUCUAGAAGUGUUGAAGCAACAAAUACCGGUGAUUGUCCAAAUUUCUUCUCGAGUUUUAUUUGCGGCAUGAUGGAAGCUUUUUCGCUAUCAAUUCCUUCAAUUCCUUCCUCGAUAUUUUCAAGGGCAUGAAUUUGUGGUGAAGCCUCUUUGCUUUUUGGCUUCUUUUUGUUAUCCUUGGUUGUUUUCGCUUUCUUGUGCUUCUUUCGAGUACCGAAACAACAGCAACACCAUCUCGGCCAGCAGUUGCAUGUUUUUCCUGGAGGUUUUGUCUUCUUUGGAGCAUCAUAACCAUAAAGGGCUUGCCUCCUGAAGACACAUCCAGUGCCGACAUAAAUUGGACCCUGGAUCCCAUCAAGUCCUUUCAUAUUGAUAUCAAAGAAGACAACAUUGCGGUUGGAGUAUCUGUCAUGCCUGUCAAUACCAUCAAAUCUUUGAG
rnacentral:misc_RNA from 1 species